rnacentral:siRNA from 1 species
AUAUAUGAGCAGGAAUUAGUU